GAUGAACGCUGGCGGCGUGCCUAACACAUGCAAGUCGAGCGAUUUUCUUCGGAAGAGAGCGGCGGACGGGUGAGUAACGCGUGGGUAACCUGCCUCAUACACAUGGAUAACAUACCGAAAGGUAUGCUAAUACAAGAUGAUAUAAGAGAUUCGCAUGGAUUUCUUAUCAAAGCUUUUGCGGUAUGAGAUGGACCCGCGUCUGAUUAGCUAGUUGGUAAGGUAACGGCUUACCAAGGCGACGAUCAGUAGCCGACCUGAGAGGGUGAUCGGCCACAUUGGAACUGAGGCACGGUCCAAACUCCUACGGGGGGCAGCAGUGGGGAAUAUUGCACAAUGGGCGAAAGCCUGAUGCAGCAACGCCGCGUGAGCGAUGAAGGCCUUCGGGUCGUAAAGCUCUGUCCUCAAGGAAGAUAAUGACGGUACUUGAGGAGGAAGCCCCGGCUAACUACGUGCCAGCCGCCGCAGUAA
rnacentral:rRNA from 1 species